AUAUAAAAUCAGUAAGCAGGAAGCUAAAAUCACGUAUUCCGUCAAUACUUAGCCAAAAAAUUUAGAUAGCCGCGAACACUUUAGUUUUUCUUCUUUUCUCAAAGACCUAAACAAAUUAUCUCAGAGACUAGAAAAAUAAAAUAAAAAAACUCUUAGGCUCGAAUCAACUCAGCCAAACCCUAACUCCCCUCCAAUGGCUUCCGCCGCUGCCGCCACCACCAAAUUAAAUAGACGCAACCGAAACCCCACAUCUCCACCUAUCAAUCCCGAUCUAUUUCUCACGAUGAAGUUUCAAUCUACCGUGGAGGAGAAUCGCUUUGGGAACAGAGAAGAUGAAUUCAAGUAGAGAAAGGGAUGAUUCGAAGAGUUUUAGAUCGGGAAGUAGAGAGAGAGAGAGGACAUGGUAAUGGUGGUGAUGGACGGAUUAAUAUACUUCGAUAAGUAGAGAUUCAAUGACUCUUCUUCUUCUCCUUCUUCAUCCUCACAAAAUGGUAAGCCAUCUCAAUUAGGGAUUUUAGCUUUCUUUAAUUUGGAAAUUGGAAAACCAAAAAGGUAUUCUUCAUUAGGAGAAAACUGUAAACUGUAAGCUUCAAAUCCAAAAAGAAAACUCUUUGUAUCUAGAGAUGGAGCUCGUGUGUGAAACUCUUUCUAUUAAAUUAUCAUUUUGAUUGCUAAAGUGUUGCAGCCGGAGCUUGUACGAUUUGAGAGAGACUUGUUGAAUAUCUCGAGUGGUGGAACCGUAAAAAAAUGUAAAUGAACAAUAGGAAGUAAGCUGCGAACGAGAAUGCUCGUAAUGAAAAUAAGAAAGUCGUGUCUUCACCUACACGGCUACACCUGUUGAAAAGCCUGAAGCUCCUGAGACAUGCACUAGUAGUCCAACAUGAGAUUAGUCGGAGAGAAGUGAAUCAAAAGAUUCUGAUGAUUUAAUGUGAGUUUAUUAUUUAAAGGAGAGGAUUUUGGAAGGUACUUUCUUGUUACUGCUAGCCUUUUGUGUUUGAUUUCUUAUUUUGCAGCUUGUAUAAGGGUCUUGCUCCACGUUGGCUGUGAAGUUGAUGAUCUUCAGGUUUGGCUACACAUUGUCUAUUUGAAUUUUAGUGCUUGGUUUGGUUAAUUUCUCCGUUUGAUAUUAUGGAUUUUUUGUGGAUGACUUGAUGGUUGGCAAAAUAAAGAACAAGGAAGGAUAAUUCAGAGAUCAGUUUAUAAGACAAGUGAAAAUAAUGUUAAUACUUUGCUGCUCCAAAUACCUUUGCUUUAAUGUUAUUACAGAUAGAUGAGCAGAAUAUACAAGAACAGGUAGUGGAAAUCAAUUCUUCUUCAUCUUUAGGAGCUGUUAAGAAAGAGGUGGGACAUGUUGAGGACGAAUGCUCACGAAAGAGCAUUGAUUUUAAGAUAAAAACUAUUGAGGAAACAAGAUUGAAGACUGUGAUAUAUGUUGAUGCUUUUGUACACAUGCUUACAGAGAUUAUGGACGGGGAUGAUAUGGGAAGGCGAAACAUAUAAAUGAGAUUGAAGUUUAUCUUUAUGAUGUUAGCUUUAUUUUGUUUAAAACUUUGUAUGAUGUUAUGUAAAAAAUGGAUAAUGUAGUAAUA